rnacentral:rRNA from 1 species
AUACGGAGGAUGCAAGCGUUAUCCGGAUUUAUUGGGUUUAAAGGGUGCGUAGGCGGGACUGUAAGUCAGGGGUGAAAUACUGCAGCUUAACUGUAGCAUUGCCUUUGAAACUGCCGUUCUUGAGUACAGUUGAGGUAGGCGGAAUGUGGUGUGUAGCGGUGAAAUGCGUAGAUAUACCACAGAACGCCGAUUGCGAAGGCAGCUUACUAAGCUGUUACUGACGCUGAGGCACGAAAGCGUGGGGAUCAAACAGGAUUAGAUACCCUGGUAGUCCACGCUGUAAACGAUGAUUACUGGUUGUUAGCGAUAUAUAGCUAGUGACUGAGCGAAAGCAUUAAGUAAUCCACCUGGGGAGUACGUCGGCAACGAUGAAACUCAAAUGAAUUGGCGGGG